GUCGAACGCUGGCGGCGUGCUUAACACAUGCAAGUCGAACGGAAAGGCCCUGCUUUUGUGGGGUGCCCGAGUGGCGCACGGGUGAGUAACACGUGAGUAACCUUGCCUUGACUUUGGGACAACUUCAGGAAACUGGGGCUAAUACCGGCUAGGAGCUCCUGCUGCUUGGUGGGGGUCGGAAAGCUUCGGCGGUUGUGGAUGGACUCGCGGCUUACUAGCUUGUUGGUGGGGUAGCGGCUUACCAAGGCUUUGGUGGGUAGCCGGCCUGAGAGGGUGACCAGCGACAAUGGGACUGAGGUACGGCCCAGACUCGAACGGGUGGCAGCAGUGGGGAGUAUGACACAAUGAGCGGAAGCCUGAUACAGCAGCGCCGCGUGCGGAAUGACGGCCUUCGUGUUGUGAACCGCUUUCGCUUGUGACGUAGCGUGAGUGACGGUAAUGAGUAAAGAAGCACCGGCUAACUACGUG
rnacentral:rRNA from 1 species